rnacentral:rRNA from 1 species
CCCGCUGAACUUAAGCAUAUCAAUAAGCGGAGGAAAAGAAACUAACAAGGAUUCCCCUAGUAACGGCGAGUGAAGCGGGAUGAGCUCAAAUUUAAAAUCUGGUAGUCUUUGGCUGCCCGAGUUGUAAUCUAGGGAAGUGCUACCUGUGCUGGACCGUGUACAAGUCUCCUGGAAUGGAGCAUCACAGAGGGUGAGAAUCCCGUCUUUGACACGGACUGCCAUGUGCGAUAUGGUGCGCUCUCGAAGAGUCGAGUUGUUUGGGAAUGCAGCUCAAAACGGGUGGUAAAUGCCAUCUAAAGCUAAAUAUUGGCGAGAGACCGAUAGCGAACAAGUACCGUGAGGGAAAGAUGAAAAGAACUUUGGAAAGAGAGUUAAACAGUACGUGAAAUUGCUGAAAGGGAAACGCUUGAAGUCAGUCGCGUCGGCUGGAAAUCAGUCUUGCUUCUGCUUGACGUACUUUCUGGUUCGACGGGUCAGCAUCAGUUUUGACCGCCGGAUAAAGUCGUUGGGAAUGUGGCAUCUUCAUGAUGUGUUAUAGCCUGUCGUCGCAUACGGUGGUCGGGAUUGAGGAACUCAGCACGCCGCAAGGCCGGGUCGUUUCGACCACGUUCGUGCUUAGGAUGCUGGCAUAAUGGCUUUAAUCGACCCGUCUUGAAACACGG